CGUUACUUCUACUAGUGCUACUACUGCUACAACAGCUACUACUGUUACAGCUCCUUCGGCUACUACUGCUACUAUUUUAACUACUGCUGCUACUGCUACUACCACUACUACUACUACUAAUAUGCUAAUACUGCUACUACUACUGUUACUACUGCUACUACUACUGCUACUACUAGUGCAUUAUAUGUAACACCACAUUAACUAUCCAACUUUUUUAUUUUCAGAUUUCCUUGAAUUAAUCAAUUAAUUCAAAUGAAGAAAAAAAUUUGUUGUCAUAUUAAUUCAAUUGAAAAAGAAUUUGAUUGUAUAAAUCAAUCUAUAAAUGGCAAAAUGAUCAAUUAGCCUUGAUUUGUUUUUGUUAGGAAAAAAAGAAUAGAUAAGCUAGCUGAAUUUAAUAAUUUAUUGAAGUAUGAGAGUAAGAAGUAAGAGAUACUAAUUGAAAAACACAAGUUUUUAUUUGUGGUUGAUACUAAAAGCCUUUAAGUACAUGGGUAUUUAUAGGUACUAGUACUACUUUUACUAUUACUAUUAAUACUACUGCUACUGCUACUACUGUUACUUCUAUUGUUGCUACUAUUCCUACUACAGCUACAGCAGGUACUAUUGAUACAGCUGUUACUACUGCUACUGCUACUACUAUUACUAUUUCUACUACUGCUACUGCCAUUGCUACUGCUACUAUUGCUACUACUACUGCCACUAC
rnacentral:lncRNA from 1 species